rnacentral:lncRNA from 1 species
AUGCAAUCAGAACACCUUGCAGAAUUUUCAGAAUUCCUCAUUUUGAGCCUCUCAGGAGAUCCAGAACUGCAGCCCCUUCUUGGGCUGUUUCUGUCCAUGAACCUGGUCACAGUGCUUGGAAACCUGCUCAUUAUCCUGGCCAUCAGUUCUGACUCCCACCUCCACAAGCCUAUGUACUUCUUACUCUCCAAAUUGUCCAUGGCUGCCAUUUGUUUUGUCUUCACCAUGAUCCAAAAGAUGAUGGUAAACCUCAGGGCACAGAGCAAAGACAUC